rnacentral:rRNA from 1 species
UACGUAGGGGGCAAGCGUUAUCCGGAUUUACUGGGUGUAAAGGGAGCGUAGACGGCAGGGCAAGCCAGAAGUGAAAACGCAGAGCUUAACUUUGCGACUGCUUUUGGAACUGCCCAGCUAGAGUACAGGAGAGGUAAGUGGAAUUCCUAGUGUAGCGGUGAAAUGCGUAGAUAUUAGGAGGAACACCAGUGGCGAAGGCGGCUUACUGGACUGAGACUGACGUUGAGGCUCGAAAGCGUGGGGAGCAAACA